UGGGGAAUCUUGCGCAAUGGGCGAAAGCCUGAUCCAGCAAUGCCGCGUGUGUGAAGAAGGCCUUCGGGUUGUAAAGCACUUUUAUCUGGAGCGAAAUCUGCAGGGCUAAUACCCAUGCAGUCUGACGGUACCAGAGGAAUAAGCACCGGCUAACUUCGUGCCAGCAGCCGCGGUAAUACGAAGGGUGCAAGCGUUACUCGGAAUUACUGGGCGUAAAGCGUGAGUAGGUGGUUUCUUAAGUCUGCUGUGAAAGCCCCUGGCUCAACCUGGGAAUUGCAGUGGAGAAUGGGGAGCUAGAGUGGGGUAGAGGGUAGUGGAAUGCCCGGUGUAGCGGUGAAAUGCGUAGAGAUCGGGAGGAAAACCAGUGGCGAAGGCGGAUACCUGGACAAGCACUGACACUGAGUCACGAAAGAGUGGGGAGCAAACA
rnacentral:rRNA from 1 species